rnacentral:misc_RNA from 1 species
AAGUCGUAACAAGGUUUCCGUAGGUGAACUUGCGGAAGGAUCAUUAACGAAUUUAUGGGAGAGGUUGAUGCUGGUCGCAAGACAUGUGCUCACUUUCUUAAAUCCAUAUACACCUGUGCACCUUUCUUUCUUUCACUUGGGUUCUACUCGAGUGGAAGGAGAAAAAAACUACAAACUCUUAUAUUAAUCAUGAAUGUUAUCGCCGCAAGGCAAAACUUAAUACAA